GUGAGGUCUGGAGCGAAAGAGAAGGCACCGUCGUUUGGAACAAAGAUGGUCACCUCGUCAAGCUCCCGGAGGUGAGCCAGUAGAUCGAUAGACGAGAGGAACUUCGUGAAUCUUUUCGCAGCGGCCAAUUCUCCCACUGCUCUCACAAAAUCUUCAUCUGCAGCCGGAGACCUUGCUCUCGUUCCCGAUGAGAAGAUUGCAAGAACAAGAGCCAGAACGAGGAAAAUCCUCGCGGCAGCCAUCGCCAUCUUUCUUCCAAGCUUUAACAAACAAUAUAAAUUAAGGUGAUGGAAGCUCUUUUAUGGCAUUCAUGGCCCAUUUUAGUUUUUUUUCUGCAGGAGGGGCUAUACAUGGUCGGCCAGAUUAUCAAAAUAAAUCAAGAGGUAUAAUUCAUAUAAACUAUAGAAAUCAAAUUCGGUUUAAACAACUUCUAGCAUGAACUUGGAA
rnacentral:lncRNA from 1 species